rnacentral:rRNA from 1 species
CCUACGGGAGGCAGCAGUGAGGAAUAUUGGUCAAUGGACGAGAGUCUGAACCAGCCAAGUAGCGUGAAGGAUGACUGCCCUAUGGGUUGUAAACUUCUUUUAUAUGGGAAUAAAAUGUUCCACGUGUGGGAUUUUGUAUGUACCAUAUGAAUAAGGAUCGGCUAACUCCGUGCCAGCAGCCGCGGUAAUACGGAGGCUCCGAGCGUUAUCCGGAUUUAUUGGGUUUAAAGGGAGCGUAGGUGGAUUUGUAAGUCAGUUGUGAAAGUUUGCGGCUCAACCGUAAAAUUGCAGUUGAAACUGGCAGUCUUGAGUACAGUAGAGGUAGGCGGAAUUCGUGGUGUAGCGGUGAAAUGCUUAGAUAUCACGAAGAACUCCGAUUGCGAAGGCAGUUCACUGGACUGCAACUGACACUGAGGCUCGAAAGUGUGGGUAUCAAACAGGAUUAGAUACCCUUGUAGUC